GAAAUUCCGGACAGUGAACAUCCAAGAAGAAUUUAAAUAUAAGCGUUGAAAACUUAUGUGGGUGAAACGCUAGAAUUGACUGGAGUUCUUCGACAAGAAAUGGGCACUUGUCUUUGCAUAGACAGCAACAAUGUGCCUCCGACAGUCAGCAAACGUUACUCUGUACAAGUUCACUGUAAACAAAAUAAAAACCUGCCAAGCACUGUGGCGGCACGGGCCACGGAACUUUUCAACGGCUCCGGAUGCAAAGCGCGACGCCGCCAAAGCGCAACACCGACGUGCCCAAUGUACCAUCGAUAUCUUCACACUCUUUCCGCCGAAUUCUCGGAAGAGCAUACACGUGCCAGCACUGGCGGCACAUCUAAUGAAUGCACGCUAGUGGGGGAUAUCGAUGGGCUACGAAGGGAAGAAUCUGCGCGAUCCGAAACAAAAGCACAGGCAGUCUGUCUUACGCCAUUAAAUGUGUAACUCCUCGGUACUAUUUGCAUAGCAACGCGUCGAAUGAUCUCUCGGUGUCUAUCGUUAUUUGUUAGUUGUUACCAGUUGUCUGUUAAGUGUAAUUGUUAAUUGUUAAUUGUUAACUCUGAUUGUUGAUUAGUUCUAAAUAAACUAUUGUUCGUUAAAAACACCAAGA